CCGACACAGGUGGACUGGCAGAGUAUGCCAAGGCGCUUGAGAGAACUGUAUUGAAGGAACUAGGCAAAUUGCCCUCGUAACUUCGGAAGAAGAGGGCCCGGUAUCGACGCAAGUCUUUGCCGGGGGCACAUAGCAGGGGGUGGCGACUGUUUACUAAAAACACAGGGCGCUGCGAAAUCCAAAGAUGACGUAUAGCGUCUGACGCCUGCCCGGUGCUGGAAGGUUAAGAGGAGAUGUGAAAGCGUUGAAUCGAAGCCCCAGUAAACGGCGGCCGUAACUAUAACGGUCCUAAGGUAGCGAAAUUCCUUGUCGGGUAAGUUCCGACCUGCACGAAAGGCGUAACGACUUCCCCACUGUCUCCAAUACAGGCUCAGCGAAAUUGAAUUCCCCGUGAAGAUGCGGGGUUCCCUCGGUCAGACGGAAAGACCCCGUGCACCUUUACUGCAACUUUACACUGGCAUUAGGAAUGGGAUGUGUAGAAUAGGUGGUAGGCUUUGAAGCCGCGGCGCUAGCCGUGGUGGAGCCGAAAUGUGAAAUACCACCCUUCUUGUUCCUGAUGUCUAACCGCGAUCCCGAAACGGGAUCCGAGACAGUGUAUGGUGGGCAGUUUGACUGGGGCGGUCGCCUCCCAAAGAGUAACGGAGGCGCGCGAUGGUAGGCUCAAUCCGGUCGGAAAUCGGAUGGUGAGUGCAAUGGCAAAAGCCUGCCUGACUGCAAGGUCGACGGACCAAGCAGAGACGAAAGUCGGUCAUAGUGAUCCGGUGAUCCCGCGUGGAAGGGUCAUCGCUCAACGGAUAAAAGGUACGCCGGGGAUAACAGGCUGAUCGCACCCAAGCGUCCAUAGCGACGGUGCGGUUUGGCACCUCGAUGUCGGCUCAUCACAUCCUGGGGCUGUAGCCGGUCCCAAGGGUAUGGCUGUUCGCCAUUUAAAGUGGUACGUGAGCUGGGUUUAGAACGUCGUGAGACAGUUCGGUCCCUAUCUGCCGUGGGUGUUCGAAACUUGAGAGGACUUGUUCCUAGUACGAGAGGACCGGAACGAACGUAUCUCUGGUGGAUCGGUUGUCACGCCAGUGGCAUAGCCGAGUAGCUAAAUACGGACGAGAUAACCGCUGAAAGCAUCUAAGCGGGAAACUUACCUCAAAACCAGGUUUCGCUUGAGAGCCGGGGAAGACUACCCCGUCGAUAGGCCAGAUGUGUAAGCGCAGCGAUGCGUUGAGCUGACUGGUACUAAUCGCUCA
rnacentral:rRNA from 1 species